rnacentral:misc_RNA from 1 species
GGAAAAUGAUGAAGAAGAACUUCAAAAUUACCAGAUAAUUUGGAGAUUCAAACCCUAGCACUUUUAGCAAUAUUCAAUCUCUUUGUAUUUUUUUGAAUUUUUUGGUGUUUAAAUUUUAUUUUUUUGUUACGUAUAUUUCGUUUGAUUGAUUUCAGCUGAAUAUUCACCGUUUGAUCUUCGAUCGGUUUGAUUCUCUGAUCGGUCGGCGUGGAGUUUUCAGAUCGGAGAUUGUGAGGAAAAGGAAAAAUUCUGUUAAAGCACUAGAAAGUUUUAGAGGAAUCUAGAUAAAAAAAUGCCGUCUCAUGCAGAUCUAGAUCGGCAGAUCGAACAAUUGAUGGAGUGCAAGCCGUUA